UACGUAGGGUGCAAGCGUUAAUCGGAAUUACUGGGCGUAAAGCGUGCGCAGGCGGUUCGGAAAGAGAGGUGUGAAAUCCCAGGGCUUAACCUUGGAACUGCACUUUUAACUACCGGGCUAGAGUACGUCAGAGGGGGGUAGAAUUCCACGUGUAGCAGUGAAAUGCGUAGAGAUGUGGAGGAAUACCGAUGGCGAAGGCAGCCCCUUGGGAUGAUACUGACGCUCAUGCACGAAAGCGUGGGGAGCAAACAGG
rnacentral:rRNA from 1 species